AUAAUCCGCAGCCAGACACCCACCUUAAUUUAUGACUCAGUUUAAUGAGUUUCAGUCGAUGAACCACCACCGGACUGUCUGGACUUCCUGAGCUCCUCUGGCUCUUAUAUCGGCGACACAGCCGUACCUGCAAGCUACUCCCUUCCAUUUCACCUUGGUUCACGAGGUUCACGCAAAUAAUUCAUAGAUGUAUUGGCGUUCUAUUAGAAUCGCUAAUAGAUGAUAUCAGGGCAGCACCUCCUGGGCACGUGCGAGGAACCCAUCAUUAGCGAUUCCGCAACAGUUCAAUGGAAGAAUUCGUUGGAGUAGGACUUAACGACAGCCAAUAAGCGCAGUGUCAGUAAAAGAUUCCAGCAAAAGGGUCGCACGAAACGCGAAGGCGCCAAAUGUACUAGGCUUAUAUUAUAUCGUAGACACGACUGAAUAGGUUUAUACACUCAGGACACAGAUCAUAUUAAAUGAUUAGGUGAAAGUAAUAUCUAAAGGCCAUUAGUUUAAAUUAUUAAUAUUAUUAAAUUAAUCUCUUCGAAGAUAUUUAGGGCCGAAAACAUCCGGGCUGUGGCGGAAUUUUUUCACGAACCUAGUAGUUCGAUAUAUAUAAUAAUAAUUGUUACAAAUAAUUAUCGUCACCUCCAGACUACAUAGUACCUAUCGAGACUUAGCCUUCUAAAUCUGCAAAGAGAUUAAUUUAAUAGUUUGAAUUAUUAAUAUAAUUUAAAAUAAUAGUCUAUAGAAAACAUUUUCACCUAAUCAAUUAAUAAAAUUAGGGCCGAUAAUACACUCCUCAUAAACAGAACAUAUUUUCUCUACACAGGAUAUGUGGCACCAUCUCUUUGACAAACCGUGAACCCACGAUAGAGAAAUCAAUAAAAGACUGGUACAAUUAAA